GGCCUACCAUGGUGGUAACGGGUAACGGGGUGUUAGGGCACGACACCGGAGAGGGAGCCUGAGAAACGGCUACCACAUCCAAGGAUGGCAGCAGGCGCGCAAAUUACCCAAUCCCGACACGGGGAGGUAGUGACAAUAAAUAACAAUACGGGGUUCUUUCGGAUCUCGUAAUUGGAAUGAGUACAAUUUAAAUCUCUUAACGAGGAACAAUUGGAGGGCAAGUCUGGUGCCAGCAGCCGCGGUAAUUCCAGCUCCAAUAGCGUAUAUUAAAGUUGUUGCAGUUAAAAAGCUCGUAGUUGAAUUUCGGGGUUAGUAGGCUGGUCAUGCCACCGGUAUGUACUGGUCUUACUGAUUCCUCCUUCCUGAUGAACUGUAAUGCCAUUAAUUUGGUGUUGCAGGGAAUCUGGACUGUUACUUUGAAAAAAUUAGAGUGUUUAAAGCAGGCUAACGCUUGAAUACAUUAGCAUGGAAUAAUGAAAUAGGACGUUCGAUCCUAUUUUGUUGGUUUCUAGGAUUGACGUAAUGAUUAAUAGGGAUAGUUGGGGGCAUUAGUAUUCAAUUGUCAGAGGUGAAAUUCUUGGAUUUAUUGAAGACUAACUACUGCGAAAGCAUUUGCCAAGGAUGUUUUCAUUAAUCAAGAACGAAAGUUAGGGGAUCGAAGACGAUCAGAUACCGUCGUAGUCUUAACCAUAAACUAUGCCGACUAGGGAUCGGAUGAUGUUAAUUUUUUAAUGACUCAUUCGGCGCCUUACG
rnacentral:rRNA from 1 species